rnacentral:tRNA from 1 species
GCAGGAAUUGACGUUUUGUGGAAGUAACAGGGACUUAAAAUCCCUCGGCAGAAAUGCUGUGCCGGUUCGAUUCCGGCUUCGGGCACCA